AUGUUGUACUCCCGCAUCUUCAUCCAUUUGUACUCCUACAUCUUCAUCCAUUUGUACUCCUGCAUCAUCAUCACCCAUUUCAUCUUCUGCAUCUUCUGCAGGUGGAGUGCAGUUGAGGUCUGGGACAACCAUCUUCUGCUGCUUUCAGUUCAUUCCUCUCUUUGCUACGUGGUCAUUGUUUCAGGACAGAUCGAGUUCGUUUCCAGCGACAACAGAGAGAUGUACUCCAGCAGAAGAUCAAAUGAUCAGAGAGAGGAGAUGAACCUGGGCACCAGCCGAACCCAGCAGCAGCUCCUGGACGUGGGAGAGGAGGAGCGCCUGCGCCUGGAUGCAGUGGCCGGAGGUGGGUACGGAGGUGGAGAUGGCGGAACAGCCUGUGCUCGCCUCCACCUGGGCGCGGGUCAGGAGGAGCCCCUGUGUGUGGGCGGCAGCAGAGCACUAGCUCUACUCCAGCGGCGGCAGCGCCUGGGCAGGGGGCGGAGGUGGAGAUGGAGGGCGGAGGUGGAGAUGGAGGUGGAGGGCGGAGGUGAGGGUGGAGGUGGAGAUGGAGCUGGAGGGAGGAGGUGA
rnacentral:rRNA from 1 species